UUUUUGUUGAUCCCGCCUCGCGGCGAUGACGUCAUCAGUAGCGCGCGCUCACUCCGUCAGCGUCGAGUCUUCUGAGGAGAGACAUAAAUUCAUAUUCAGUGAAGUUCCACCCACAAACCCUGCAGAAUGAAACACACUGAAGACACUGAAGAACUAACAGAGUUGAUUGAAGAAAACAAGAACGAAGAAUUG